rnacentral:rRNA from 1 species
GCGGUAGCACAGAGAGCUUGCUCUCGGGUGACGAGCGGCGGACGGGUGAGUAAUGUCUGGGAAACUGCCUGAUGGAGGGGGAUAACUACUGGAAACGGUAGCUAAUACCGCAUAAUGUCGCAAGACCAAAGUGGGGGACCUUCGGGCCUCAUGCCAUCAGAUGUGCCCAGAUGGGAUUAGCUAGUAGGUGGGGUAACGGCUCACCUAGGCGACGAUCCCUAGCUGGUCUGAGAGGAUGACCAGCCACACUGGAACUGAGACACGGUCCAGACUCCUACGGGAGGCAGCAGUGGGGAAUAUUGCACAAUGGGCGCAAGCCUGAUGCAGCCAUGCCGCGUGUGUGAAGAAGGCCUUCGGGUUGUAAAGCACUUUCAGCGGGGAGGAAGGCGAUGAGGUUAAUAACCUCAUCGAUUGACGUUACCCGCAGAAGAAGCACCGGCUAACUCCGUGCCAGCAGCCGCGGUAAUACGGAGGGUGCAAGCGUUAAUCGGAAUUACUGGGCGUAAAGCGCACGCAGGCGGUCUGUCAAGUCGGAUGUGAAAUCCCCGGGCUCAACCUGNGAACUGCAUUCGAAACUGGCAGGCUAGAGUCUUGUAGAGGGGGGUAGAAUUCCAGGUGUAGCGGUGAAAUGCGUAGAGAUCUGGAGGAAUACCGGUGGCGAAGGCGGCCCCCUGGACAAAGACUGACGCUCAGGUGCGAAAGC